UACGUAGGGACCAAGCGUUGUUCGGAUUUACUGGGCGUAAAGGGCGCGUAGGCGGCCUCUGCAAGUCGACUGUGAAAUCUCCGGGCUUAACCCGGAACGGUCAGCCGAUACUGCAGGGCUAGAGUGCAGAAGGGGCAACUGGAAUUCUCGGUGUAGCGGUGAAAUGCGUAGAUAUCGAGAGGAACACCUGCGGCGAAGGCGGGUUGCUGGGCUGACACUGACGCUGAGGCGCGAAAGCUAGGGGAGCGAACGGG
rnacentral:rRNA from 1 species